rnacentral:rRNA from 1 species
ACGAACCGUCCAAACGUUAUUCGGAAUCACUGGGCUUACAGAGUUCGUAGGCGGUCUGGAAAGUUGGGUGUGAAAUCCCUCGGCCUAACCGAGGGACUGCGCUUGAAACUACCAGACUCGAGGGAGAUAGAGGAAAGCGGAACUGAUGGUGGAGCGGUGAAAUGCGUUGAUAUCAUCAGGAACACCCGUGGCGAAGGCGGCUCUCUGGACCAUAACUGACACUGAGGCACGAAAGCUGGGGGAGCAAACAGGA